UAGACUUGAACGUAACAGUAAUAAUGUAGAAAUAUAUUAGCUAGCAAUAGACUGUUACGAGGUGCUGCAUGGUUGUCGUCAGCUCGUGCCGUGAGGUGUCAGGUUAAGUCCUAUAACGAGCGCAACCCUUACACUUAGUUGCCAGCAUGUUAUGGUGGGGACUCUAAGUGGACUGCCUGCGUAAGCAGAGAGGAAGGUGGGGAUGACGUCAAAUCAGCACGGCCCUUACGUCUAGGGCGACACACGUGCUACAAUGGUAGGUACAGAGGGCAGCUACACAGCGAUGUGAUGCCAAUCUCAAAGGCCUAUCUCA
rnacentral:rRNA from 1 species